rnacentral:rRNA from 1 species
GCCUUUCGAAAGAGAGUAUUAAUACCCCGUAAUAAAUUGAACGGCAUCGUUUGAUUUUGAAAGCUCCGGCGGUUUGAGAUGAGUAUGCGUCUGAUUAGCUAGUUGGUGAGGUAACGGCUCACCAAGGCGACGAUCAGUAGGGGGACCUGAGAGGACUAACCCCCACACUGGUACUGAGACACGGACCAGACUCCUACGGGAGGCAGCAGUAAGGAAUAUUGGUCAAUGGAGGCAACUCUGAACCAGCCAUGCCGCGUGCAGGAUGACGGCCCUAUGGGUUGUAAACUGCUUUUAUACAAGAGAAAACCCUGGUACGUGUACCAAGUUGAUAGUAUUGUAAGAAUAAGCAUCGGCUAACUUCGUG